UACGUAGGGGUCGAGCGUUGUCCGGAGUUACUGGGCGUAAAGCGCGUGCAGGUGGCUCAUUACGCCCGGCGUGAAAGCCCCCGGCUCAACCGGGGAGGGUCGUCGGGGACGGGUGAGCUUGAGGGUAGCAGGGGCUGGUAGAAUUCCCGGUGUAGUGGUGAAAUGCGCAGAUAUCAGGAGGAACACCGGUGGCGAAGGCGGGUCUCUGGGCCGAUACUGACGCUGAGGAGCGAAAGCGUGGGGAGCGAACAGG
rnacentral:rRNA from 1 species